UCAAAAUCCCUUUACAACCGGUUUAUAUAAUUGAAAUAAAGAAAAAUAAAAUACAAAAGAAAGUUAUUAUUUCUGUUAUUGUUGCCUCUACUCUAGUGUUGGUUCCGUUUUUCUCGUAGGUACGGGAGUCGUGGAAGAGGCGCACGUGCGCGGAGGGUCGUACUGCGACAUUCGCGGCGGCGUGCAAGGGUGAAAUUGCUGCGGCGGCUACUAGGGUUUUUGAUUUUUGAUUUGGCUGAAAAUUUGUUAAGCUU
rnacentral:lncRNA from 1 species